rnacentral:rRNA from 1 species
UGUGUAGGCGGUUCUCUAAGUCUGGUGUGAAAUCUCCCGGCUCAACUGGGAGGGUGCGCCGAAAACUGGAGGGCUAGAGUGCGGGAUGGGAGAGUGGAAUUCCUGGUGUAGCGGUGAAAUGCGUAGAUAUCAGGAGGAACACCUGUGGUGUAGACGGCUCUCUGGACCGCAACUGACGCUGAAACACGAAAGCGUGGGUAGCAAACA